rnacentral:rRNA from 1 species
GACGAACGCUGGCGGCGUGCUUAACACAUGCAAGUCGAGCGGUAAGGCCCUUUCGGGGGUACACGAGCGGCGAACGGGUGAGUAACACGUGGGUGACCUGCCCUCAGCUCUGGGAUAAGCCUGGGAAACCGGGUCUAAUACUGGAUAUGACUCCAUGACGCAUGUUGUGGGGUGGAAAGCCUUGUGCGGCUGAGGAUGGGCCCGCGGCCUAUCAGCUUGUUGGUGGGGUGAUGGCCUACCAAGGCGACGACGGGUAGCCGGCCUGAGAGGGCGACCGGCCACACUGGGACUGAGGCACGGCCCAGACUCCUACGGGAGGCAGCAGUGGGGAAUCUUGCGCAAUGGGCGAAAGCCUGACGCAGCGACGCCGCGUGAGGGAUGACGGCCUGGUGUAAC